UAGUCCACGCCGUAAACGAUGAUUACUCGCUGUAGGCGAUACACAGUCUGUGGCUAAGCGAAAGUUUUAAGUAAUCCACCUGGGGAGUACGAUCGCAAGAUUGAAACUCAAAGGAAUUGACGGGGGCCCGCACAAGCGGUGGAGCAUGUGGUUUAAUUCGAUGAUACGCGAGGAACCUUACCAGGGCUUAAAUGUAGGAUGCAUUAGUUAGAGAUAGCUAUUUCUUCGGACUUCUUACAAGGUGCUGCAUGGUUGUCGUCAGCUCGUGCCGUGAGGUGUCAGGUUAAGUCCUAUAACGAGCGCAACCCCUGUUGUUAGUUACCAGCACGUAGUGGUGGGGACUCUAACAAGACUGCCGGUGCAAACCGCGAGGAAGGUGGGGAUGACGUCAAAUCAUCACGGCCCUUACGUCCUGGGCUACACACGUGCUACAAUGGUAGGUACAGAGAGCAGCCACUACGCAAGUAGGAGCGAAUCUACAAAACCUAUCUCAGUUCGGAUCGGAGU
rnacentral:rRNA from 1 species